ACUCCUACGGGAGGCAGCAGUGGGGAAUAUUGCACAAUGGGCGCAAGCCUGAUGCAGCAACGCCGUGUGAGUGAAGAAGGUUUUCGGAUCGUAAAACUCUGUCCUAAGGGAAGAAACAAAUGACGGUACCUUAGGAGGAAGCCCCGGCUAACUACGUGCCAGCAGCCGCGGUAAUACGUAGGGGGCAAGCGUUAUCCGGAAUCACUGGGCGUAAAGGGUGCGUAGGCGGCUUAGCAAGCCAGGGGUGAAAGGCAUUGGCUCAACCAAUGUAAGCCUUUGGAACUGUUAAGCUUGAGUGCAGGAGAGGUAAGUGGAAUUCCUAGUGUAGAGGUGAAAUUCGUAGAUAUUAGGAGGAACACCAGUGGCGAAGGCGACUUACUGGACUGUAACUGACGCUGAGGCACGAAAGCGUGGGUAGCGAACAGGAUUAGAUACCCUGGUAACACAG
rnacentral:rRNA from 1 species